AACGAACGCUGGCGGCAUGCCUAACACAUGCAAGUCGAACGAGACCUUCGGGUCUAGUGGCGCACGGGUGCGUAACGCGUGGGAACCUGCCCUUAGGUUCGGAAUAACUCCCCGAAGGGGGUGCUAAUACCGGAUAAUGUCUUCGGACCAAAGAUUUAUCGCCUUUGGAUGGGCCCGCGUUGGAUUAGCUAGUUGGUAGGGUAAAAGCCUACCAAGGCGACGAUCCAUAGCUGGUCUGAGAGGAUGAUCAGCCACACUGGGACUGAGACACGGCCCAGACUCCUACGGGAGGCAGCAGUGGGGAAUAUUGGAAAAUGGGGGGAGUCAUGAUCCAGUUAUGCCGCGUGAGAGAUGAAGGCCUUAGGGUUAUAAAGCUCUUUUACCCGGGAUGAUAAUGACAGUACCGGGAGAAUAAGCGCCGGCUAACUCCGUG
rnacentral:rRNA from 1 species